ACGGAGGGUGCAAGCGUUAUCCGGAUUCACUGGGUUUAAAGGGUGCGUAGGAGGGCUGGUAAGUCAGUGGUGAAAUCCCCGAGCUUAACUUGGGAACUGCCGUUGAUACUAUCAGUCUUGAAUACCGUGGAGGUGAGCGGAAUAUGUCAUGUAGCGGUGAAAUGCUUAGAUAUGACAUAGAACACCAAUUGCGAAGGCAGCUCGCUACACGAAUAUUGACUCUGAGGCACGAAAGCGUGGGGAUCAAACAGGA
rnacentral:rRNA from 1 species